rnacentral:ncRNA from 1 species
AAACUGAAGAGUUUGAUCAUGGCUCAGAUUGAACGCUGGUGGCAGGCUUAACACAUGCAAGUCGAACGGUAACGGGUUGAAAGCUUGCUUUCGACGCUGACGAGUGGCGGACGGGUGAGUAAUGCUUGGGAAUCUGGCUUAUGGAGGGGGAUAACCAUUGGAAACGAUGGCUAAUACCGCAUAGAAUCGGAAGAUUAAAGGGUGGGACUUUUUGCCACCUGCCAUAAGAUGAGCCCAAGUGGGAUUAGGUAGUUGGUGGGGUAAAGGCCUACCAAGCCUGCGAUCUCUAGCUGGUCUGAGAGGAUGGCCAGCCACACUGGGACUGAGACACGGCCCAGACUCCUACGGGAGGCAGCAGUGGGGAAUAUUGCGCAAUGGGGGGAACCCUGACGCAGCCAUGCCGCGUGAAUGAAGAAGGCCUUCGGGUUGUAAAGUUCUUUCAGUGGUGAGGAAGGUUGGUGUGUUAAUAGCACACUGAUUUGACGUUAGCCACAGAAGAAGCACCGGCUAACUCCGUGCCAGCAGCCGCGGUAAUACGGAGGGUGCGAGCGUUAAUCGGAAUAACUGGGCGUAAAGGGCACGCAGGCGGUAAAUUAAGU